AUAUAAAAUAAAAAAUCUUUUCAAUUCAACUUUCAAAAUUAAUUAAAGAUGAUUAAAAUUAUUAUAUGUAAAUAAAAUAAACAAAAUUAAACAGACGUGACAAUGUCGAAAUGCAUCUGAUGAGGACACAGAAUUCUGUGUCGAAACGCGUCACAUUUUUAUGUCAAUUCUU